rnacentral:tRNA from 1 species
GGCCCAGAUAGCUCAGUUGGUAGAGCAGUGGACUGAAAAUCCUCGUGUCCCUGGUUCGAUUCCAGGUACCCUCGGUCA